GGCGUGGCUUCCUACGUUUUACGUCAUGCAUAUAUUAUACCUUUUGAACACUUCAAAAUAAAACAACACCACCGUGUUAUGACGAUGUUAGCGAGCAGGCUGAGGAGACCUUUGCAUUUGAUGCUACGCCUAUGACGGCGUAUAUGGCCCGUGUAAGAUCUAAGUCUAGGCCCUAGAUGCCUCGUCUGGCCUAGAUAGCGUUCAGUUCGACAUUAUGAAUCGGCCUAGGCCUACGUACAGCCAUACCAAGGCCUACCUAAUACAACCACUAUCUGGGCCCAUGUGGCAGAGCAGCUUGCAGCAUCCAAUGACCUUAAAGGGCACUCCGGAGUAGUGGAUUGCAACGCCUUCAUCCUCACUUCUUGAUGUUGUUGCCCAAAUUAUUCUUGUGAUGUUAAUAUCUGAAAUGAACAAUACUAGAAAUGUAGUGCAAAAAAACCAAAUGGUGACCUGAAAGCGUGGGGUGUAGACUGUUGAUUGGGAGGCGUGAGGAGGGUGUUAUCCCUAUUACAAUGAAUACAAUACUGGACCCCACCACAUUAUCCCUAUUUAAAGGGCCCUAUAAUAAAAAUAAAUUAUAUAUUAUAUUAAAAAUAAUAGAUCUUGAUAGUUUAUAGACAGUUACAGCAGCAAUUAAUGUGUAAAUAUUAUACCUGUUGAUGGAGUUAAUUUACCAAAGCCUGCAGACUUAUGUUCAUCUGUUACGAACUUGGACGUUGUGGCUAUUUCGUAGACACGAACCGGGUCUAGGAUAUCCAAUCCAUCAUCUGUUAAAAUUUUGUACCCAUUAUAUUGGCUAAAUGUAUGGUCGCAAUUAUAUAUGGAACCUUGGAUAUCAUUUGAUUUCCCCCUAAAAAGUAAUAACAACAUUUAGUAAUAGAAAAUCAUUUUGGUAACUGAAAGUCAUGUUUCAUAAUUGUUUUUAAAAAUAAAGAAGCUCUGUUGAAAGUUUUUUUUUUCACUUAAUACGUGCUUUAUUUUUUGAUUCUUAAUAGUACUGUACAUAAAAUUAUCUGGUAUAUGCUAUGUUAAUUCAGUUGGGCUAAAAAAAUAAUUUACCAGCUUAUAUUUAUUCCCCCUCAUUGAUUUUUGGUCUUGCCUCACAAUUCUGUAUUUUAUAUAACUAAUAUUAAAAAUAACCAAGAAUUAUUA